GGAACGUAACNCGACGUAGACUGGGGGAUAACACUUAGAAAUAGGUGCUAAUACCGCAUAAGCGCACAGCUUCGCAUGAAGCGGUGUGAAAAACUCUGGUGGUAUACGAUGGUUCCGCGUCUGAUUAGCUAGUUGGUGGGGUAAUGGCCUACCAAGGCAACGAUCAGUAGCCGGCCUGAGAGGGUGAACGGCCACAUUGGGACUGAGACACGGCCCAAACUCCUACGGGAGGCAGCAG
rnacentral:rRNA from 1 species